CUUCGGGGUGCCCAGGCGCGAAAACUCCACAAUGCGCGAAAGCGUGAUGGGGUUAACCCGAGUGCCGUCCGAUGAGGAUGGCUUUUCUUCAGUUUAAGGAUCUGGAGGAAUAAAGGGGGGGCAAGACUGGUGUCAGCCGCCGCGGUAAUACCAGCCCCCUGAGUGGUAGGGACGAUUAUUUGGCCUAAAGCGUCCGUAGCCUGUUUGGGAAGUCUUUCGUUAAAUCCGACGAUUCCAUCGUUGGGACGCGGAAGAUACUGCCAGACUUGAGGACGGGAGAGGUCGACGGUAGUCCUAGGGUAGGGGUGAAAUCCUAUAAUCCUAGGAGGACCACCAGUGGCGAAGGCGGUCGACUAGAACGUGCCUGACGGUGAUGGACGAAAGCUGGGGGAGCGAACCGGAUUAGACACCCGGGUAGUCCCAGCUGUAAACGAUGCGAGCUAGGUGUUGGAGCAACUACGAGUUGCUCCAGUGCCGCAGAGAAGUUGUUAAGCUCGCCGCCUGGGAAGUACGGCCGCAAGGCUGAAACUUAAAGGAAUUGGCGGGGGAGCAC
rnacentral:rRNA from 1 species